CGAUGGGGUAGAGGCGCAGGGUUUAUUAGUAGGCUGUUGUGAGGAUGACAACGUUGACCGCAGCUAAAAGGAAACAUUGCCGAAGCAAUCAGGAAAGGUCAAAAGCCGGAUUGUUGGGGUUACCUUGAAUAAGGGUAACACUGUCAUUAUGAGGGAAACCUUCAUAAUGAGGAGCUACAGAUCGU
rnacentral:ncRNA from 2 species